GCUGUAGUAAUUUAAUUUAAAAUAUUGAUUUGUGGUAUCAAUUAUGUAUACAUAUAUAUCUAUGGUU
rnacentral:tRNA from 1 species